rnacentral:lncRNA from 1 species
UAUACAUGCAUCCUGCAAGUUUACAAGAGAAGCAGAAAAACCACAUUUUGUCCUCCCUAGAAGAGAAUGAUUUGCAGGAAUCACUCAAUGGGGUUAAGAUACGAACACAUUUAAUCUGUGACCUCCUGCCUAGAAUGUAAUUGGCAGUGCAUCUUUACCAAAUUCAACAUUGGCAUAAUGUAUCUGUCAUUCUAUCUUGUUCUUCAUGGAUGUC